GGAAUAUUGGACAAUGGGGGGAACCCUGAUCCAGCCAUGCCGCGUGUGUGAAGAAGGCCUUUUGGUUGUAAAGCACUUUAAGCGAGGAGGAGGCUCUUCUAGUUAAUACCUAGGAUGAGUGGACGUUACUCGCAGAAUAAGCACCGGCUAACUCUGUGCCAGCAGCCGCGGUAAUACAGAGGGUGCAAGCGUUAAUCGGAUUUACUGGGCGUAAAGGGUACGUAGGUGGUCUAUUAAGUCGGAUGUGAAAUCCCUGAGCUUAACUUAGGAAUUGCAUUCGAUACUGAGAGACUAGAGUAUGGGAGAGGAUGGUAGAAUUCCAGGUGUAGCGGUGAAAUGCGUAGAGAUCUGGAGGAAUACCGAUGGCGAAGGCAGCCAUCUGGCCUAAUACUGACACUGAGGUACGAAAGCAUGGGGAGCAAACAGGAUUAGAUACCCCGG
rnacentral:rRNA from 1 species